AACCAGCACCUCAAGUGGUCAGGAUGAUUAUUGGGCCUAAAGCAUCCGUAGCCUGUUCUAUAAGUCUCCGGUUAAAUCCAUCAACUCAAGUGAUGGGCUGCCGGAGAUACUGUAGAACUAGGGAGUGGGAGAGGUAGACGGUACUCGGUAGGAAGGGGUAAAAUCCUUUGAUCUAUUGAUGACCACCUGUGGCGAAGGCGGUCUACCAGAACACGUUCGACGGUGAGGGAUGAAAGCUGGGGGAGCAAACCGG
rnacentral:rRNA from 1 species